AGGGUCGAACAGGACGGGAUGGACCCAUGGGUGUAUCUGGAUUUCCUGGCUUGAGGGGUCUCACAGGCGAUGAAGGACCAGAAGGAAAGCCUGGGAGCAUUGGGAUCUGUUGGGAGUCCAGGAGAAAGGGGUCUUGCUGGGCCCAGGGGCUCUGUUGGUGAACCCGGACAGAGAGGACCUGCUGGAAGCCCUGGUUCACCUGGGCAGCCCGGACACUGUGGCGCUCCAGGCCGAAUGGGUGACAGGG